GACGAACGCUGGCGGCGUGCCUAAGACAUGCAAGUCGAGCGGGGCUUCGGGGCUUCGGCCCUGAAGCCUAGCGGCGGACGGGUGAGUAACACGUGGAUAACCUGCCCUCUGCUCUGGGAUAACAGGCCGAAAGGCCUGCUAAUACCGGAUAAGCUCACGGUCCCGCAUGGGGCUGGGAGAAAAGGCGCUGGAGUCAGUGGCGCUGGCAGAGGAGGGGUCCGCGGCCCAUUAGCUGGUUGGCGGGGUAACGGCCCACCAAGGCGACGAUGGGUAGCCGGCCUGAGAGGGCGACCGGCCACACUGGGACUGAGACACGGCCCAGACUCCUACGGGAGGCAGCAGUCGGGAAUUUUGCACAAUGGCCGAAAGGCUGAUGCAGCAACGCCGCGUGAGCGAAGAAGGCCUUCGGGUUGUAAAGCUCUGUUGCCUGCGAAGAAGGGCCCUGUCAGGAAAUGGGCGGGGUUUGACGGUAGCAGGCGAGGAAGCCCCGGCAAACUACGUGCCAGCAGCCGCGGUAAUACGUAGGGGGCGAGCGUUGUCCGGAAUUACUGGGCGUAAAGGGCGUGUAGGCGGCCUGUUAAGUCAGGGGUGAAAGACCGGGGCUCAACCCCGGGGGUGCCUCUGAAACUGGCGGGCUUGAGUGCUCUAGAGGGCAGUGGAAUUCCCGGUGUAGCAGUGAAAUGCGUAGAGAUCGGGAGGAACACCAGUGGCGAAGGCGGCUGCCUGGGGAGUCACUGACGCUGAGGCGCGAAAGCUAGGGGAGCAAACAGGAUUAGAUACCCUGGUAGUCCUAGCCGUAAACGAUGAGUGCUAUGUGUGAGGGGUAUCGACCCCCCUCGUGCAGGGGCUAACGCACUAAGCACUCCGCCUGGGGAGUACGGCCGCAAGGUUGA
rnacentral:rRNA from 1 species